rnacentral:rRNA from 1 species
AUUGAACGCUGGCGGCAUGCCUUACACAUGCAAGUCGAACGGCAGCGGACCUUCGGGUGCCGGCGAGUGGCGAACGGGUGAGUAAUAUAUCGGAACGUACCUUUCAGUGGGGGAUAACGUAGCGAAAGUUACGCUAACACCGCAUAUUCUGUGAGCAGGAAAGCAGGGGAUCGCAAGACCUUGCGCUGAUUGAGCGGCCGAUAUCAGAUUAGCUAGUUGGUGAGGUAAAGGCUCACCAAGGCGACGAUCUGUAGCGGGUCUGAGAGGAUGAUCCGCCACACUGGAACUGAGACACGGUCCAGACUCCUACGGGAGGCAGCAGUGGGGAAUUUUGGACAAUGGGCGCAAGCCUGAUCCAGCCAUGCCGCGUGAGUGAAGAA